CUCACCAGGUCAGGACACGGUAAGGAUUGACGGACUGAAGGCUCUUUCUCGAUUCCGUGGAAAGUGGUGCAUGGCCGUUUUUGGUUGGUGGAUCGAUCCGUCUGGUUAAUUCCGUUAACGAACGAGACCUCGGCACUCCGAAUAGCGCGGCGGACGUCGCGGCCUCCGGGCCGUCUUCCGCACGAGCUUCUUAGAGGGGACCGUCCCCCGCCGGGGAAGGAGGUGCGAGGCAACGACAGGUCUGUGAUGCCCUUAGAUGUUCUGGGCCGCACGCGCAUUACACUGACGCGUCCAACGGGUGACUCCCGACCCGAAGGGGCCGGGGAAUCCGCAAGGCGCGUCGUGAUGGGGAUUGAACGUUGCAAUUGUUGUUCACGAACGAGGAAUUCCUAGUAGGCGCGGGUCAUCAACCCGCGCCGAUUACGUCCCUGC
rnacentral:rRNA from 1 species